rnacentral:rRNA from 1 species
CCUACGGGCGGCAGCAGUAGGGAAUCUUCCACAAUGGGCGAAAGCCUGAUGGAGCAACGCCGCGUGGGUGAAGAAGGUCUUCGGAUCGUAAAACCCUGUUGUUAGAGAAGAAAGUGCGUGAGAGUAACUGUUCACGUUUCGACGGUAUCUAACCAGAAAGCCACGGCUAACUACGUGCCAGCAGCCGCGGUAAUACGUAGGUGGCAAGCGUUAUCCGGAUUUAUUGGGCGAAAAGGGACCGCAGGGGGUCUUUUAAGUCUGAUGUGAAAGCCUUCGGCUUAACCGGAGUAGUGCAUUGGAAACUGGGAGACGUGAGUGCAGAAGAGGAGAGUGGAACUCCAGGUGUAGCGGUGAAAUGCGUAGAUAUAUGGAAGAACACCAGUGGCGAAAGCGGCUCUCUGGUCUGUAACUGACGCUGAGGUUCGAAAGCGUGGGUAGCAAACAGGAUUAGAUACCCGGGUAGUC